GACACUGGGUGGGAUUUAAAGUCCCUUCCAACCAAAACCAUUCUGUGAUACUGAAAUUAAAGACUGCACUUUAUAAACAGAGCUCCAACAGAGCACAGUGGACUAAUUCAUCCCAGUCUUGCCCAGGAAAGCAGAUUCCAGCAACUUUCAGUGUUCAUCUACACCUCAGUGCUGAGGUCCCAAAACCCUGCCUUCCCUUGGGGCAUGACACAGCAUUGAUCCCCUCCCAACAGGUACCCCAAGAUGAAACUAUGUGAUUAGAUACAGACUUUCCAGCACAAAUGACAGAAACAAUCUACAAAUAACCUGCUAAAUGCAAUAAUACUGAUCAAUUAAGUAUUAAAUAACCCUACUAAUUUAAUAACAUACUAAAGUAUUCUGAUGUUUUAUGUUCAGUUUGGAUAUCUUAAGGAAAUAUGAGAAAAGGUCACAGAUUCAAGAGUGACUUUUUAAGGGAGGAGGAAAAAUAUUCCUAUUAAAGGAGGCAAUGCAAAAUUGUGACAACUCCCAACCUAUCAGCACUUGAGAAGGGUGUUACCCUAAAAUGACACAGCUGGUUGGUUCUUCUCACAUUUCUUUAUCUCCAAAUACUUAAAAGGGGCUCCAAGGAUUUACUGUAAAAUCAAAACUUACAGGAGCAGAAAGGAACCUCUGCCAUCCACGCUUCAUUUGUCCCCUGUUCAUAGCCCUUAUAAUUGUUAUGAAUGGAAAUUACAUAUGAGAGCAUAUCUGACAGUCUUGCAUAUUUAAGGACCUUGUUACAUAGAGAAUACUCUCCUGUGCUGUAGUGGUGCUAUAAAUCUCCUUAAGGGGGAUUAUUUCAAUAUCAAUUGCAAUAACAGUGUCAAAAUCUGGCAGAUCAUUGGGAAAUUCUUUAAGAAAGAAAGAACUUAAAUUUUACCCCCAGCUAAGAAAUGUUUGGCAUGAGAGAUCCAGCUCCCGUUUGGUACUGAGUAAAGUAAUAACAUUUUGAAAUGUGUGAGGAGGAAAGGUUUCAAGACCAUACAAAUACUUAGGGGGAAAAAAAUAAUUAAAAACAUUACUUGAAUUAAAACAUUUUUUUACAAUUACAUGUUUUUAUUAGUUAUGUUUAUAAAUUCUAGUAUUCAUGACAUAUAUAUUUUAAGUAACGGGAACAUUAAGUAUAAAUGUAAUUGUUCAGAAACUAUUUUCAUUUGCAUCCACUAUUAACAGCCCGUGAUUGUCUGACUGCUUAAAAAAUUUCAAAGUAAUCUGAUAAGCACAGAUUUUUUUUUUCCAGAAAUGAAAAAAAAUAAUGAAUUGGACUGUGUUCAACAGUUAAUUAAAAGCAGUAUUUUCAUAGGUGUAACCUCAAACUAGGCAAAAUCUUCAAAAUGAAAAUAUGCUUUUACCUUGCAAUGUGAUUUGGGGAAAAAAAAUUAUAGCCGAAAAAAUUAGUUUAUAGUAGUCAUUGUCUUAACAGUAAAAAAAUUGUCAAAGAUUGUUAUAUGAGAGGUAAAAAAAAAAAAUCUUUUUUUGCCUUCUUAUCCUAAAUUUGACUUUCUUCCCUCUUCUUUCAUGUUGUGUUUUGCAAGGCUCUUUAAAAAGUGCUCCAGAAUCCAGGAUUCAGUGGGAAGUUCAUUUCUUGCUUCAGCAGCAAAUGCUCCAUAGCUGAAUCAUUGUGAAAAUCCCACUACACUUUCAUUAUAUACAGAACAAAUGGCAAGCAAAGCUGGAAGAGACUGCCAUAUCUUCUCUCUGCUCAAUAAGAAGCAGAAAACCAACUUACAGUGCUUGUGUGAACCAUUUAAAUUAACAGAGCAGACAUGUCCUGUGGGAUGUGUCACCUUGGGCUGCACUGUCAGGACAUCAGAAGCUACAAGCAAAACAUGUGAAUCAGGUGGGAAUUGUCUCUAGGAAUAUAUUACAAUAUAUUGCAAAGCAGAAAUAAUAAUAAAAAAAUUAAAGGAGAGCCAUAAAUUAUGUAAUGAUUUCCUCAAAAAUAGGUCUGUCAUCAAGUUAAUAAUGGAGGAAAUUGUGUGAUGGGACUCUGGAAACAUAACAGGGAAAGUCUGGGACAGGGAGCUGAGUUCCCAAGACCUUCACUGCUCUGAGGUGCCUAUGAAGAGGAAAUUCUGCCUUAAAAAACCAUCAAUGAAUCCCAAGGCCCCCAAAUACCCAAUAAAAACCUACUUAGGUAACCUAAAAAGUACCUCCAUGACAUUAAUUUAUUAGCGCAAUCUAAAUGAUUUCCAUGUAAGACAUAUUUAAGUUUUGUUGAAUGGUAAUACUGUGAGAAAACCUCUUUCCUUCCUGCUGGUUUGAAUGCAGAAAUGUGCCUGGACACCUGCAAAGGCAUGCCAAGGGGUCCUGCAGGCUGAAAAAAACCUCUGUUAUCCCUCCUGCAGCAGCUUCCAGCACAGGAACCUCGGUGCCUCAGCACUUCAGGGGUUUCAGGUGCCGUGGAAGUGUGUUACAGUUCAGGAUAACAAUCCCCAACACACGAUAUUAGCUGCAGGGGAAAAAAGGGGUUUGCACAGCAUGUGGAGAUCUCUCAUAAUUUCCAGGCUUUUCUCAGCUGCUUAUAUUCUUCCUAUUCCAGACGACUUUUCACACAUCUCAAAGCCAAAAUAAGCAAUGAUGGUUUUCUAACAUUUAAUACUUUUUUUUUUUUUAUGGGAACAAUACAGCUUAAAAUUUAAAACAUUUGUGAUGCUUUCUGCUUCUGAGAGGGAAGACCUGUGUUCUUCACUGGUGUUUUCACUCUCAGGUAGAGUAAAAACCAGCAACAAAUAGGGAAAAAUUAGGUCUCUGUUUGCUCCAAGGAUGGCAUUGUGAAUACCUUCUUUUAUAUGCAAGAAACAGAGAGAAUCUAAAGAUAAUCAAUGUAGGCUGCCCAUAGUUAAUCAACCCAAUGCACAUUAAAAAAAAAAAAAAUUACAGUGCAGGCCAAGUAGUUCUAAAUAAAUGUGGCAAAGAAUUGUAAGAAUGGCUGCUGAACUAAAGAAGCAAAAUAUUGUGGCAUCAUUAAUUAGGUUUGAUUGAAUUUUGGAAGUAUUCCUGAAGAAGCACGGUUGGAUCCUUGAACGUUGCUGUGGAAUGAACUCUUCUGCACAAUUAUUCUUGAAGACAGAGCGUAUAAAAGGAUAAAUAAUCCUUGUUUAGGGAUUGGGAAUUGAUGAUGCCUUGGAAUGCAGCAGAACUGAACUUAACAAGUUACAGUUGCAGGAAGAAUAUAUCUGAUGGUGAAAGCUUUAUCUGUUCCUCAGUUUUUCACACAGUGCCCCUCCCUAUUCUGAAUAAUUCAGAGGUUUUUAAGCUAUUUUUCUUAAUCUUGUUUUGCUGUAAACUUAUUUUCUGUAAAUCAUGGUUUCAGGGGAAAGGGGGAGAUAUUGACCACGCAAAAUAAAUGAGAAUAACUAUGAACCUAUAGGCAUUGUUUUGCUGGUGUAAAUCAGGUUUUAAAACAAGUAAAAGAAAGGCUUUCACAAUGCUAUGUGGGUUUAGAGCAGAUGGGGAUGUGUUACUCUUAUAUUAAUUAAUUAAAAGUAAAAUCACAAAAAUAUGAUUAAUUAAUUGAAUAAUUUAUUUAUAUAAUUUCUUAUUAUGUUAGUAUACAUAUAAUAUAAAUAAUAUUUAUUCUAUGUUGUGUAUAUGUCAUAAACGUACUCAAAUUUGCCCAGUGGAAACAAACAAUGAUUUUUCUACAUUGUUUGCUUGUAAUUUUGGUUUGAAUUUGCUUGAGUGCUCAGCACACACAUUUUAACACCAUAGCUUAGGAUCAUUUGUGUGUGGAUGAAGAGAUGACAAGAUACAGGCAUGUUAAGGGAGGCUAUCAGUCAAUUAUCAAUCAAUCAAUCAAUCAAUCAAUCAAUGUGCCUUUCCAAGAACAGCAGAGAUAAAAGACUGGAAAAUUGCAGGUGUUAGUAAAUACACAUUCUCUAAUAAUGGCAUUUCUUAGAUUUCUGCCUUUAAAAUACCAUAUAUCAUUUAGGUAAAAUGAGGUUUGUGUUCUUCAUUAUUCCAUCUAACUUCCAUUGUGUUGAAGGAAAAAAAAAUUGUG